rnacentral:tRNA from 1 species
GUCUCUGAUAGCUCAACUGGUAGAGCAUUCGGCGCGUAACUAAAUGAUCUGAGUUUCGAAUCCCGGUCUAGACU